CAAGACCUUGCGCUCUUAGAGCGGCCGAGGUCUGAUUAGCUAGGUGGUGAGGUAAAGGCUUACCAAGGCGAGGAUCAGUAGCUGGUCUGAGAGGACGACCAGCCACACUGGGACUGAGACACGGCCUGGACUCCUACGGAAGGCAGCAGUGGGGGAUUGUGGACAAUGGGGGAAACCCUGAUCCAGCCAUGCCGCGUGAGUGAAGAAGGCCUUCGGGUUGUAAAGCUCUUUCAGCCGGAACGAAAAGGUCACGGCUAAUACCUGUGAUCACUGACGGUACCGGAAGAAGAAGCACCGGCUAACUACGUGCCAGCAGCCGCGGUAAUACGUAGGGUGCAAGCGUUAAUCGGAAUUACUGGGCGUAAAGCGUGCGCAGGCGGCUUUGUAAGUCAGAUGUGAAAUCCCCGGGCUUAACCUGGGAACC
rnacentral:rRNA from 1 species